ensembl:lncRNA
GGAAAGCCGGGACGCGAACCAGGGACCUUCUUGCUGCAAGGCGAAAGUGCUAACCACUACGCCACUGUGCAGCCCUCUUUAAGAACAUUCACAUGAAAAUCAACCAAAAUCCAGCGAAAUUCACUGGAUUUUUUUUGGUAAAUGUUCUUUAGAAGCUUUUUUUAACAUUUCUUUUUUUCCACCAAAAAAUGUUCAAAACUUUCCCAGAAAUGUUGAAAAUGUGGACAUCAGAAGUUUCACUGUGAAAAUAGAUUUUUUUUUUUCGCAUUUUCAAACUAUAAAACGGGUUAAUUUUGACCUGCAGGACGACACGAGGGUCAAAGGAGGAAGGAGGCAGGAGCCGCCUGGUAGGAGCUGGUGAUGGGAAAUGCAGGUAGAUUUAGGAGGAAAACUUGUUGUUCCCUAAGAAAUAGUGUGAACUAAUCUGAGGCCAGACAUUGUUUUGUGGUCUGUGAAGGAAAAGACUGUAUUUCAUUGAGUUAACAAUCAGUGGAGGAAGAAGGCUGGAUAUGCAGACUGAAAGACAGACGCUGAGCAGAGGGGAUGGAGAACCAGAGUUGCUCCAGUAGAAGUGGGAUGUAGAGGCUUUGAUGAGGGUCAGAGUCUGAGGGAGACGGUGAGGGACAUGGCAGAUAAAGCUGCUAGAUCUAGUCAUUGGAGAUGGAUUAGGAGAAAUUAUAAUAGUUGGGGGUGAAAUAGAGGCGGUGAUGGAGUAGACCUCUCCUUCAAUCUGCUGUCCUCGCCUUCUUUUCCCUCCUCCAAUGGCAGAGAUCCAGGAAGAGGAAGUGUAGAUCAGGUGGGGCCGUGGCCUGUUAGAGUCUCUCUGGGACCAUGCGGCCAUCUCAGGUGAGUCUGUGGUGUCAGGUAGCGGCUGUGUCUUUGUCUUUUCCUGUUGUUGUUUUUUUGUUUGUUGGUUUUCUUGUUAGGUAGCAUUAGCAAUUAGCAGUUAGCAGUUGGUCCUUGCAUCCUAGAUGAAGUAUGCUGGUAUCAUCUCUGUCUGUGGUGAGCUUGGCUGAAGUAGUGGUGUGUUUUAGCAAUUAGCGAUUAGCAUUAACAUGUAGCACUGGCAGGUUUGGUGAGCUGACUGGUAUAAUUUCCUUUGUCAGUGGUAAGUUGGCUUUGGACAUGGUGGCGGUCUAGCAGCUAGCAUUAGCACUUACAGGGGUUUGGAGAGUUUAUAAGUAUAGUUUCUUUGUCCUUUUUAGCAGUUAGCACUCAGUAUUCAGCAGAUAACUGGUAGCAUCUGGUCCCUACCUGGAGCAUCUCUUAAACGGGACUGGGUCAGCUGAACGUGGCAGUGCUGGUUGGAUUGUGUAGGAGCAGUGUGAACUUGCACUAGAGGGGUGAAUCUGGGACGCCAGAGUUCAUCUUAGCCUCCUGGAGGUGUUGUGGGACCAAACAGGAGAAACAGCAUUGAAUUGAGGAAUCCCUGCUCUCUGGUGGGUAUAGUGGUGGUCAGGGGUCUCUGGUGGGUAUAGUGAUGGUCAGAGGUCACUGGUGGGUGCAGUGAUGGUCAGGGGUCUCUGGUGGGUAUAGUGAUGGUGACGGAUCACUGGUGGGUAUAGUGAUGGUCAGGGGUCUCUGGUGGGUAUAGUGAUGGUCAGGGGUCUCUGGUGGGUAUAGUGAUGGUCAGAGGUCACUGGUGGGUGCAGUGAUGGUCAGGGGUCUCUGGUGGGUAUAGUGAUGGUGACGGAUCACUGGUGGGUAUAGUGAUGGUCAGGGGUCUCUGGUGGGUAUAGUGAUGGUCAGGGGUCACUGGUGGGUAUAGAGAUGGCCAGGGGUCUCUGGUGGGUAUAGUGAUGGUCAGGGGUCUCUGGUGGGUAUAAAGACGGUCAGGGGUCUCUGGUGGGUAUAGGGUGGUCAGGGGUCUCUGGUAGGUAUAGUGAUGGUCAGGGGUCUCUGGUGGGUAUAGUGAUGGUCAGGGGUCUCUGGUGGGUAUAGUGAUGGUGACGGAUCACUGGUGGGUAUAGUGAUGGUCAGGGAUCUCUGGUGGGUAUAGUGAUGGUCAGGGGUCACUGGUGGGUAUAGAGAUGGCCAGGAGUCUCUGGUGGGUGUAGUGAUGGUCAGGGGUCUCUGGUGGGUGUAGUUAUGAUCAGGGGUCACUGGUGGGUAUAGUGAUGGUGACGGAUCACUGGUGGGUAUAGUGAUGGUGACGGAUCACUGGUGGGUAUAGUGAUGGUCAGGGAUCUCUGGUGGGUAUAGUGAUGGUCAGGGGUCUCUGGUGGGUGUAGUUAUGAUCAGGGGUCUCUGGUGGGUAUAGAGAUGGUCAGGGGUCUCUGGUGGGUGUAGUUAUGAUCAGGGGUCUCUGGUGGGUGUAGUUAUGAUCAGGGGUCUCUGGUGGGUGUAGUGAUGGUCAGGGUUCCUAGGACCUUCAUUCAGUGGGAUCUUUCUUGUUUUGAGCACAAGUGUCUUGAGUUUAAACUAACCUGAGACACACCUGAGACGUGACUCUAAGCUCUUGUCCACACGUAGCCGGGUAUCUCACAAAACGAAGAUAUUUUUCUACGAUUCGGCCUAUCAUCCACACGAAAACGCAGAUUUACGUCAUCAAAAACGAUUCUUUUUAAAAACUCCAACCAAAGUGAAGAUUUGCGAAUUCUCCGUUUUAUGCGUCUGCAUGUGGACAUCAGUAACCGGGGUUUUGCAUUUCGAAACGUCACCGCCUGCGACAAAAUAUGUUCUUACGUCACAUAUGUGACCUGUGUUUACAUUCGGUAACAGUAUGGAUGCUCUCACAAGGUUUUGGGCGCUGUUUCUUGUACAUGCGCUUUUUACUUGCUUGUUUUUACAAGCCCAGAUACUGCUCCACAUUCAACAACACAGGCGAAGGACGACGUUAAGGACGGUUAUUCUCCACCACCUUGCUAGGAUUUGGGGAACUACUGCCACCUAAAGGUCCUGCAUGCUUAUGAAUGUGCUGAAAAACGCACUUAUGCGGUUAGGUGUGGAUGAAGUUUUUUUCUAAAAACGAGGUGGUGUGUACGUAAGUUUUUUUCUAGACGGAGGGGACAGGAUAUUCAGUUUUACAAAAACCCUGCUACGUGUGGACAAGGCCUAAGACUGAACGUUUGUCUUCAGGCGAACUCCAGCUCCAGCGCUGCCUCAGCAGGUGAGAUUCAGAGAGGAAACGCAGACGGCAGUGAUGUUGGUGAAAACUCGUCAGUUUGUUACAGACAUGAAGGUAAAUGCAGCUGCAGACAGGAACACACCUGUACCUGUAAAUCUACCUGUAGAAACAGGAGCUGCUCUGGCUACUGUGGUAAAUCACUGAUGGUAUUCCAAUUUUUAAUUUACUUCUGG